rnacentral:rRNA from 1 species
UACGUAGGGUGCAAGCGUUGUCCGGAAUUAUUGGGCGUAAAGAGCUUGUAGGCGGUUUGUCGCGUCUGCUGUGAAAUUUCGGGGCUCAACCCCGAACUUGCAGUGGGUACGGGCAGACUAGAGUGUGGUAGGGGAGACUGGAAUUCCUGGUGUAGCGGUGAAAUGCGCAGAUAUCAGGAGGAACACCGGUGGCGAAGGCAGCUCACUGGGACGGUACUGACGCUGAGGCGCGAAAGCGUGGGGAGCAAACAGG